rnacentral:rRNA from 1 species
AUUGAACGCUGGCGGCAUGCCUUACACAUGCAAGUCGAACGGUAACAGGUCUUCGGAUGCUGACGAGUGGCGAACGGGUGAGUAAUGCAUCGGAACGUGCCUAGUAGCGGGGGAUAACUACUCGAAAGAGUGGCUAAUACCGCAUGAGAUCUACGGAUGAAAGCAGGGGAUCGCAAGACCUUGUGCUACUAGAGCGGCCGAUGGCAGAUUAGGUAGUUGGUGGGAUAAAAGCUUACCAGGCCGACGAUCUGUAGCUGGUCUGAGAGGACGAUCAGCCACACUGGGACUGAGACACGGCCCAGACUCCUACGGGAGGCAGCAGUGGGGAAUUUUGGACAAUGGGCGAAAGCCUGAUCCAGCAAUGCCGCGUGCAGGAUGAAGGCCUUCGGGUUGUAAACUGCUUUUGUACGGAACGAAAAGCCCCGGGUUAAUACCCUGGGGUCAUGACGGUACCGUAAGAAUAAGCACCGGCUAACUACGUGCCAGCAGCCGCCGUAA